GUGUUUGCAUGAUGAGAAACCUUUUUUAAAUCAUAACAGUUAUCCCUGUCUGAAUGGGUACCAAAAGCUAACACUCAUGUGUCGAGAAAUUUUGCUCUGAGCCAAACAC
rnacentral:snoRNA from 1 species